GGUCGGAUGGUGUAGUGGUACAUCAUCCGGGCCGGUCUUCUAAGCCUGAACAUCUAUCCCACCUGAGACAGAAGAUCGCUGGUUCGACUCCAGCAGACCU
rnacentral:tRNA from 1 species